rnacentral:rRNA from 1 species
GACGAACGCUGGCGGCGUGCUUAACACAUGCAAGUCGAACGGAAAGGCCCUGCUUUUGUGCGUUGCUCGAGUGGCGAACGGGUGAGUAACACGUGAGUAACCUGCCCUUGACUUUGGGAUAACUUCAGGAAACUGGGGCUAAUACAGCAUAGGAGCUCUUGCUGCAUGGUGGGGGUUGGAAAGUUUCGGCGGUGGGGGAUGGACUCGCGGCUUAUCAGCCUGUUGGUGGGGUAGUGGCUUACCAAGGCUUUGACGGGUAGCCGGCCUGAGAGGGUGACCGGCCACAUUGGGACUGAGAUACGGCCCAGACUCCUACGGGAGGCAGCAGUGGGGAAUAUUGCACAAUGGACGGAAGCCUGAUGCAGCAACGCCGCGUGCGGGAUGACGGCCUUCGGGUUGUAACCCGCUUUCGCCUGUGACGAAGCGUGAGUGACGGUAAUGGGUAAAGAAGCACCGGCUAACUACGUG